ACACUAGCUCUCACAUAACGCAAAAACGUUACUAUAUAAGCUCACUGAUGGGUACCCAGAAAUUAGUUUAAAUCGAACUGAUCGAGCUAAAAAUGAAAUUUUUCACUUACAUCUUUAUUGUGAUCAGUGCUAUUUUAGCAUUGAUGUCCGGAACAGCAAUGGUCAAUGCAAGAGGACCACCACCUCCAGAAGAUGGCGGUUCCAAUGGCGAUCCCCCACCGAAGGAAUUCGCAAUUUCAUCUCAAACUUAAACAACGUGAAGAACAUAAACGAUACCUAAGGAUGUUUUGUUACAUUUAAUUGUUUCAAUUAAAGAACUAUAUACAGCAAA